CUAAUAUUACAUAAGCCACAGAUAAAGAGUCUUUUCAAUGAAACCUACUGAUUAAAAGUGUUAAUGUUUUGGCUUUAAUCAGAGUUCUCAUGUUGCUUUAUAGACUAAAUACGAAAAUCCUUGCGUGGCAGCUAGAAUUCCAGAUGUUUCAGAUUUGACGACGGGAAAAAAGAAAACCACGUCUUUUUUACCACUGUUUUUAAUCUAAAUCGAGUUUGGCUCAUGCAUCCAGUCAAAGACACUCUGCACAAUGGGGAAAUAAAUGUGUGACUCCGAUGCCAUUAUCAAACUGGGACUGAGGUAGGCAGCAGCCCAGGGGCUUCAGCAUGAGGGUCAGGAAUUCACUUCUGACAGAAAAUGCUUUGUUAUUCAUAUGCUGACAUUCAGAAUGUGAUGCGAUACAAGUUUUGAUUAGAGAUAUAUUAAUAGAUAAGAGUAUCUCGCAGGACUUGGCUGGCAUAUCAUUUUAUUACUAUUAUUAUUGCAGGAAUAUGAGAAAAAGUCUCUCCCACGGAUGCCUCUGUGCACUGCUGCAAACCGAGUCCUGCUUUGGUUCCCUAACUUCUCUGACUGGUGACUGCGUGUCUGGCCAGUCCAAUAUGGCUCCCAUCAAUACAACAGAUGUUCAUCUGCAGAGAAGAGGGUCUUCGUGACUUGCAUCCUGUGCCAACUUCCUGUCUCAUCCUGUAACUAAGAAUGCCUCGCCUCCUGGGAAUGCAGCUCAGUAGUUCUCAGCUUCAUUGUACCCCGCCCUUGUUCAAGAUGAAGUCACUCUGGCUUGAAAGCCUCUGGCAAUGACCUUGAUUCGUUGUGGUCGUGAGUAUCUGGGGUUCCCACCAGUCCACAGGGCACCGAGUUACCUGUGCAACACACAGGUGUUGAACGCACUCCUGCUUCCAGGUCCUCUGGACUAAACAGUCUUGGAAUGCUAUGGAUGGCUGGUUGUCUCCCUACAGGCACUGGCUCCUUUUUUUUGCAGGGAGAACUUUGAAUGGGGUGGCACAUUUCCAGCUCAAAGGAAUGAAUUAUGGUUAACCAGGUGUGGCAGUGCACACCUGUAAUCCCAGCUACUCAGGAAACUGAGGCAGGAGAAUGGAAUGAACCCAGGAGGUGGAGGUUGCCGUGAGCUGAGAUUGCACCACUGCACUCCAGCCUGGGCAACAGAGUGAGAUUCCAUCGAAAAUAAAUAAAAUAAGUGGAUCA
rnacentral:lncRNA from 13 species